rnacentral:rRNA from 1 species
UGGGUAACCUGCCUCAAAGAGGGGAAUAGCCUCCCGAAAGGGAGAUUAAUACCGCAUAAUAUGUUUUAGUCGCAUGACUUAAACAUCAAAGGAUUUUCUUUUAGAAGUUCCACUUUGAGAUGGACCCGCGGCGCAUUAGUUAGUUGGUGAGGUAACGGCUCACCAAGGCAACGAUGCGUAGCCGACCUGAGAGGGUNAUCGGCCACAUUGGAACUGAGACACGGUCCAGACUCCUACGGGAGCAG